rnacentral:rRNA from 1 species
GGGUAAUGGCCUACCAAGGCGACGAUGCAUAGCCGACCUGAGAGGGUGACCGGCCACACUGGGACUGAGACACGGCCCAGACUCCUACGGGAGGCAGCAGUAGGGAAUUUUCCGCAAUGGGCGCAAGCCUGACGGAGCAACGCCGCGUGAGUGAAGACGGCCUUCGGGUUGUAAAGCUCUGUUCUUAGGGAAGAAACACAUGACGGUACCUAAGCAGAAAGCCCCGGCUAACUACGUGCCAGCAGCCGCGGUAAUACGUAGGGGGCAAGCGUUGUCCGGAAUUAUUGGGCGUAAAGCGCGCGCAGGCGGUGGGUUAAGUUGUGGGUAAAAGGCAUUGGCUCAACCAAUGUAAGCCUGCAAAACUGGCUCACUUGAGUGCAGGAGAGGGGAGUGGAAUUCCCGGUGUAGCGGUGGAAUGCGUAGAUAUCGGGAGGAACACCAGUGGCGAAGGCGACUCUCUGGCCUGUAACUGACGCUGAGGCGCGAAAGCGUGGGUAGCGAACAGGAUUAGAUACCCUGGUAGUCCACGCCGUAAACGAUGAGUGCUAGGUGUUGGGGACUUCCUGUCCUCAGUGCCGAAGGAAACCCAAUAAGCACUCCGCCUGGGGAGUAC